rnacentral:misc_RNA from 1 species
CUGGAUGGUGCUAAAUCUACUUCGACACGGUUAAGGCAGAAUCCGAUACUGGCUCCACCUUUGCCACGUAUCCUCAGGUCUCCAUAUAAGUAUCCCCUUUCAACUCAAGGGUCUUCCCAAUUUCAGGCCUCUGGUUCAUAAUACCUCCAAAGUUUUUGUUGUCAGUUCCUGAUUGUUUUUGUGUCCGUUUCUGUUACAAGUUAGAACCCACUGAGCAGCUAAUAUGGGUCGUUUAUGGACGUUGCUUACUCAUGUUCAUGCAUUUUCUGGGCCUGUCUUGAUGUUGCUAUACCCCUUAUAUGCAUCAGUAAUGGCCAUAGAGAACCCCUCCAAAAUGGAUGAUGAACAGUGGCUUGCUUAUUGGAUCAUCUAUUCUUUUCUUACUCUUACCGAGAUGGUCUUCCAAUUCAUCUUAGAAUGGAUUCCUGUUUGGUACACAUUGAAGCUAGUGUUGGUGGCAUGGCUAGUUCUACCACAGUUCAGAGGAGCAGCUUUCAUAUACGAAAGAUAUGUGAGAGAAAAUGUGAAGAAAUAUACAGGGGAGAGACAUCAGCAUCAUUCUCAUCACAGUAGUGGCAAGCCCAAGUAAAGUAAUAAGUUAAUUAGCAAAUAAUCUAUAAUAGAUUCUUACUUAAUGCCUUAAGGAAGAAGCAAACGACCACUCCUAAAUCUUCAACUUUAUGAAAAGAAUAAACACAUGCGUGUGCAUGACAUUCUUAUUUUUCAAUUUUUAGGGAGCUAUAGUGUUUAAUUAAACCCUUUGAACCAAUUAGCAAUUUUGUUUGUUUUGACAUAAUGAGUUAUUGUGAAUGGACAGGGAGAGCAUGAGCCUCACUGUGAUGAAGAAGACUAAUUAAGUGAAGACGUGUUGGGGGCUUGCUUGUGUGGGGAUAUAAAUACAGUUGUGCUUUAUUUUCUCAUUCAGUUGGUUGCAAACCGUUUUUAAUGCUGAAUUAAUGUACAAUUAUUACCAGUUGAAACACUGCUAGUGCUAGUCUCAAUCUGCUUUCUGUAAUUGUUAGAUCAUGGUAACACUCGUCUAUGUUGUGAUUCCUAUAGCUGUGGUUGUUAAGAAUAACGAUGCUUUAUGUAAUUUUUUUACUUAUCUGUUAUUUGAUUUGCGAUUUUUGAGAAUACAUUCAAUCAUAUAAUUAUUUAUUAAAUGAAAAGAUUUCGAGUUCGAGUUUUAUAUUACCG